UCUUAUCAAGAGUGACGGAGGGAUCUGGCCCUAUGAAGUCCGGCAACCGCGGAGAGCAGCGGUGCCAAAUCCAGCAGGUGUGACCUGAAAGAUGAGG
rnacentral:ncRNA from 1 species